rnacentral:rRNA from 1 species
AUACGGAGGGUGCAAGCGUUAUUCGGAAUCACUGGGCGUAAAGGACGCGUAGGCGGGUUGGCAAGUCAGAUGUGAAAUCCUACAGCUUAACUGUAGAACUGCAUUUGAAACUGCUAACCUAGAGUAUGGGAGGGGGAGGUGGAAUUAGUGGUGUAGGGGUAAAAUCCGUAGAUAUCACUAGGAAUACCGAAAGCGAAGGCGAUCUCCUGGAACAUAACUGACGCUAAGGCGUGAAAGCGUGGGGAGCAAACAGGAGUAGAAACCCUAGUAGUCC